CCCCAGGAGGUGUACUCUAUGCCCAGGUACUCCAGAUACUGCUCUCCUGUGCAUCUGAAAUGAGGCAUGUGCCAACUGGUCAGACAUCAGAACAAGAACACACAUCGUUAACCACCUCCUCACAGAACCUCAAACCCACAAAUUCAUUGAUCUUCAAGGCCUGAGCGAAGAUAACAGUAUGUACUACACCUGGUCACAUGCUAAGCAUGUCCAAUGCCCA